rnacentral:rRNA from 1 species
UACGUAGGGGGCGAGCGUUGUCCGGAUUUAUUGGGCGUAAAGAGCGUGUAGGCGGUUCGGUAAGUCUGUCGUGAAAUCCUGAGGCUCAACCUCGGGCGUGCGAUGGAUACUGCCGGGCUAGAGGGUGGUAGAGGCGAGUGGAAUUCUCGGUGUAGCGGUGAAAUGCGUAGAUAUCGAGAGGAACACCUGCGGCGAAGGCGGGUAGCUGGGCCGACACUGACGCUGAGGCGCGAAAGCCAGGGGAGCGAACGGG